rnacentral:rRNA from 1 species
UACGUAGGGGGCAAGCGUUGUCCGGAUUUAUUGGGCGUAAAGCGCUCGCAGGUGGUUCGAUGCGUCGUGCGUGAAAGCCCCCGGCUCAACUGGGGAGUGUCGUGCGAUACGGUCGAACUGGAGGCCAGUAGGGGGAUGCGGAAUUCCGGGUGUAGUGGUGGAAUGCGUAGAGAUCCGGAGGAACACCAGCGGCGAAGGCGGCAUCCUGGACUGGUCCUGACACUCAUGAGCGAAAGCGUGGGGAGCGGUCCGG